ACUCCUACGGGGAGGCAGCAGUGGGGGAAUAUUGCACAAUGGGCGCAAGCCUGAUGCAGCAACGCCCGCGUGAGGGAUGAAGGCCUUCGGGUUGUAAACCUCUUUUAGCAGGGAAGAAGCGAAAGUGACGGUACCUGCAGAAAAAGCACCGGCUAACUACGUGCCAGCAGCCGCGGUAAUACGUAGGGUGCAAGCGUUGUCCGGAAUUAUUGGGCGUAAAGAGCUCGUAGGGCGGUUUGUCACGUCUGCUGUGAAAAUCCAAGGCUCAACC
rnacentral:rRNA from 1 species